UACAGAGACCUCAAGCGUUAUCCGGAUUUACUGGGCGUAAAGGGUCCGCAGGUGGUUUGGAAAGUCAUUUGUUAAAUUCCAGAGCUUAACUCUGGAGCCGCAGAUGAUACUUUCAGACUAGAGGCUGGGAGAGGUAUACGGAACUACUAGUGUAGCGGUAAAAUGCGUUAAUAUUAGUAGGAACACCAAAGGCGAAGGCAGUAUACUGGAACAGUCCUGACACUCAGGGACGAAAGCGUGGGGAGCGAAUGGG
rnacentral:rRNA from 1 species